rnacentral:rRNA from 1 species
UUACCGAGUGAGGGCCCUCUGGGUCCAACCUCCCACCCGUGUCUAUCGUACCUUGUUGCUUCGGCGGGCCCGCCGUUUCGACGGCCGCCGGGGAGGCCUUGCGCCCCCGGGCCCGCGCCCGCCGAAGACCCCAACAUGAACGCUGUUCUGAAAGUAUGCAGUCUGAGUUGAUUAUCGUAAUCAGUUAAAACUUUCAACAACGGAUCUCUUGGUUCCGGCAUCGAUGAAGAACGCAGCGAAAUGCGAUAAGUAAUGUGAAUUGCAGAAUUCAGUGAAUCAUCGAGUCUUUGAACGCACAUUGCGCCCCCUGGUAUUCCGGGGGGCAUGCCUGUCCGAGCGUCAUUGCUGCCCUCAAGCACGGCUUGUGUGUUGGGCCCCCGUCCCCCUCUCCCGGGGGACGGGCCCGAAAGGCAGCGGCGGCACCGCGUCCGGUCCUCGAGCGUAUGGGGCUUUGUCACCUGCUCUGUAGGCCCGGCCGGCGCCAGCCGACACCCAACUUUAUUUUUCUAAGGUUGACCUCGGAUCAGGUAGGGAUACCCGCUGAACUUAAGCAUAUCAAUAAGCGGAGGAAAAGAAACCAACAGGGAUUGCCUCAGUAACGGCGAGUGAAGCGGCAAGAGCUCAAAUUUGAAAGCUGGCCCCUUCGGGGUCCGCGUUGUAAUUUGCAGAGGAUGCUUCGGGUGCAGCCCCCGUCUAAGUGCCCUGGAACGGGCCGUCAUAGAGGGUGAGAAUCCCGUCUGGGACGGGGUGUCUGCGUCCGUGUGAAGCUCCUUCGACGAGUCGAGUUGUUUGGGAAUGCAGCUCUAAAUGGGUGGUAAAUUUCAUCUAAAGCUAAAUACUGGCCGGAGACCGAUAGCGCACAAGUAGAGUGAUCGAAAGAUGAAAAGCACUUUGAAAAGAGAGUUAAACAGCACGUGAAAUUGUUGAAAGGGAAGCGUUUGCGACCAGACUCGCCCGCGGGGUUCAGCCGGCAUUCGUGCCGGUGUACUUCCCCGUGGGCGGGCCAGCGUCGGUUUGGGCGGCCGGUCAAAGGCCCUCGGAAUGUAUCACCUCUCGGGGUGUCUUAUAGCCGAGGGUGCAAUGCGGCCUGCCUGGACCGAGGAACGC